rnacentral:rRNA from 1 species
GAACGCGCUUCGGCGCACCCAGAAACCCUUUGUGAACUUAUACCUAAGGACUGUUGCCUCGGCGCAGGCCGGCCCCUCCCACGGGGCCCCUCCGGAAGGAGGAGCAGCCCGCCGGCGGCCAACUAAACUCUUGUUUCUUAAUGAAUCUCUGAGUAAAAAAACAUAAAUGAAUCAAAACUUUCAACAACGGAUCUCUUGGUUCUGGCAUCGAUGAAGAACGCAGCGAAAUGCGAUAAGUAAUGUGAAUUGCAGAAUUCAGUGAAUCAUCGAAUCUUUGAACGCACAUUGCGCCCUCUGGUAUUCCGGAGGGCAUGCCUGUUCGAGCGUCAUUUCAACCCUCAAGCACUGCUUGGUGUUGGGGCACCGCCUGUGAAAGGGCGGGCCCUGAAAUCUAGUGGCGAGCUCGCCAGGACCCCGAGCGUAGUAGUUUAUAUCUCGUUCUGGAAGGCCCUGGCGGUGCGCUGCCGUUAAACCCCCAACUUCUGAAAUUUUGACCUCGGAUCAGGUAGGAAUACCCGCUGAACUUAAGCAUAUCAAUAAGCGGAGGAAAAGAAACCAACAGGGAUUGCCCUAGUAACGGCGAGUGAAGCGGCAACAGCUCAAAUUUGAAAUCUGGCCUCGGCCCGAGUUGUAAUUUGCAGAGGAUGCUUCUGGCGCGGUGCCUUCCGAGUUCCCUGGAACGGGACGCCACAGAGGGUGAGAGCCCCGUAUGGUCGGACACCAAGCCUGUGUGAAGCUCCUUCGACGAGUCGAGUAGUUUGGGAAUGCUGCUCUAAAUGGGAGGUAAAUCUCUUCUAAAGCUAAAUACCGGGCCAGAGACCGAUAGCGCACAAGUAGAGUGAUCGAAAGAUGAAAAGCACCUUGAAAAGGGGGUUAAAUA